rnacentral:snRNA from 1 species
AUCCCUGUGCCCGGGCUUUACGUUAAUCAGUGAGGAUUCGUCCGAGAUAACGUUUUUGCUAGUUGAAAACUAAACAAGACUGCUCCGGCAUGCCUCGUGCAUGUCGGGAAUAUUUGGAAAAACACUCCCCUU